rnacentral:rRNA from 2 species
GACGUACCACCCAAACGUUAUUCGGAAUCACUGGGCUUAAAGAGUCCGUAGGCGGCUCGAAAAGUUGGAUGUGAAAUACCUCGGCCUAACCGAGGAACUGCAUUCAAAACUACCGGGCUUGAGAGAGACAGAGGUAAGCGGAACUGAUGGUGGAGCGGUGAAAUGCGUUGAUAUCAUCAGGAACACCGGUGGCGAAAGCGGCUUACUGGGUCUCUUCUGACGCUGAGGGACGAAAGCUAGGGGAGCGAACGGG